rnacentral:rRNA from 1 species
AUUGAACGCUGGCGGCAGGCCUAACACAUGCAAGUCGAACGAGUGGCGGACGGGUGAGUAAUGUCUGUGAAACUGCCUGAUGGAGGGGGAUAACUACUGGAAACGGUAGCUAAUCCCGCAUACCAUCGGAUGUGCCCAGAUGGGCUUAGCUUGUAGGUGGGGUAACGGCUCACCUAGGCGACGAUCCCUAGCUAGUCUGAGAGGAUGACCAGCCACACUGGAACUGAGACACGGUCCAGACUCCUACGGGAGGAAGCAGUGGGGAAUAUUGCACAAUGGGCGUAAGCCUGAGACAGCCAGGCCGCGUGUAUGAAGAAGUCUUUCGGGUUGUAAAUUACUUUCAGCGGGGAGGCGUUACCCACAGAAGAAGCACCGGCUAACUCCGUGCCAGCAGCCGCGGUAAUAC